GCCUGUGUGGCUCAGUGGUAGAGCGUCGGCCCAUGCACUGAAGGGUCAUGGGUUUGACUCCUGGUCAAGGGCA
rnacentral:tRNA from 1 species